CCUUCGAAAAUUAGAGGGAAACUUGUUUUCAGUGCAAUCGUCGCUUGCAGAUCCAACGGGAUAUUCGAAAGCCGUCACCGAUCUCUUCCACUGCAAUCUCCGGCUCCCAUUUUUUAAUUUUCUCUCAACAAAGGGAUCACAAAUCAUCCCAUUUUUCGAUCAAGUAUGAGCGAUAUGAUUUCACAGGCGGGGGAUUCCGAUUCGAAAUUGGGAUCAGAUCCAACCAGUCGAAUCAACGAAGUGAAGGAGUGGUUGGGAUCCGAAUUUGGGAGGGCUGGUAAAGAAGUUCCCGAUUUUGAAUACACGCCUCGAAGCGUCUCUCAUUUGCAUAAUCUCUGCACGCUUUCGCAAGCCAAGACGCGCGCUGCUGAGAUUCUUGCCAAAGACUUCCGCCUCAAGGCCGCCGAGUACCGCGCCCAAGCGGCGAGGAUCAGGGAGAUUUUAGAGAGCGUGGGGAUGGCGCAGGAGAAUUUGCCCUCCAAUGUGGUUUCAUCGGCGCAGGUUCUUGCGAAUGUGGCGAAUUUAUUGAACAUUAGGGAUACUGAGCUCAGUAGCUUUCUGGUUGCAAUGGGUGAUAUCACUUUGAGGAAAAUUAGUGUUGAGGAGAAGAGGACGAAGGUGGAAAAGGAUUCUAAAGUUCUUCUUGAUCAUACGCGAAAGGCAAUUGCAAGACUGACAUAUUUGAAGAGAACACUAGCACAGCUAGAAGAUGAUGUAGCUCCAUGUGAAUCUCAAAUGGAUAAUUGGAAGACAAAUUUGGCUGUAAUGGCUGCCAAGGAGAGGCAGUACAUGCAGCAAUGUGCAAACUACAAGGCAAUGCUUAACCGUGUGGGUUACUCACCAGAUAUUAGCCAUGGGGUACUGGUUGAAAUGGCUGAGCACAGGAAAGAGUUGGAGAAGAAAACUAAGCCCAUCCUUGAUACUUUAAGGAGCUACCAAGAUCUGCCCCCUGAUAAAGCUUUGGCUGCUUUAGCAAUUGAGGAUAAGAAAAGACAGUAUGCAGCAGCUGAAAAGUAUCUUGAAGAUGUGCUUCAUUCCGCGCUCACCACGACGCACUAGCUUCGCUUGGACAGCCUUAAGCUUGUCGGUAAAUUGUUGUGUUGUUUGUGCGUUAAUUUUAGUAGAUGAUAGUGAAGAAAGGUGUAUAGUCAAUAUUGAGGAUUAUGCAUGUUUGGAAUGCUGGCAACUGAGUAUAUUUUGUAACAUUAUGACAUUAGGAACUUGAGUUCCUUGUUAUGAAUAUAGUUUCUUUUGUUUUUUAGAAUGGUACAUAGAUUUGAAGAA